AAAAAAAAAGGUCUCCCCUCCAAGCCAUCCCUGGCCUCCCCGUACCUGCCUGAGGGGACCUCCAAACCACUGUCCAACAAGCCCAUCAAAGCACUGGUGUACAUGCCACACCCCGAGUCCCUCUCAAAACCAUCUCCCUCUCUGGUGGGGGAGGCAACGAAACCAUCAGCCCCAUCCGAGGGGUCCCUGAAGGUCGUGGCUUCGUCCCCAGCAGCCACCAACUCCGAGGUGAAAAUGACCAGCUUUGCGGAACGCAAGAAACAGCUGGUGAAGGCAGAGGCAGAGGCUGAGGCUGGAGCAGGGUCCCCCACGUCCACUCCAGCCCCGCCGAAGGCCCUGAGUUCAGAGAUGAGUGAGCUUGGUGCCCGGCUGGAGGAGAAACGCAGAGCCAUUGAGGCUCAGAAGCGACGGAUUGAGGUCAUCUUCGGCAAGCACCGCCAGCAGCUGGGCAAAAGCGCCUUCCUACAGGUGCAGCCAAGGGAGGCUUCUGGGGAGGCGGAGGCCGAGGCCGACCCAGGCCCAGUCCCUGGUGGGGAGCGGCCGGCGGGCGAGGGCCAGGGUGAGCCAACUUCACGGCCCAAGGCAGUGACCUUCUCGCCAGACCUGGGUCCGCUGCCCCCCGAGGGGCUGGGGGAAUACAAUCGAGCGGUCAGCAAGCUGAGUGCUGCUUUCAGCUCGCUGCAGCGGAACAUGCAGAGGCUCACGGACCAGCAGCAGCGGCUGCUGGCCCCGCCGGAGGCCCCUGGACCCGCCCCGCCCCCUGCUGCAUGGAUCAUCCCUGGCCCCACGACGACGGGGCCAAAAGCCUUGUCCCCCAGCUCCGCCCGGCGAGUCCCGGCCACUCGGCGCAGCCCUGGGCCCGGGCCCAGCCAGUCACCCCAAAGCCCGAAACACACCCAGCCGGCGGAGCUGCGGCUGGCGCCCCUGACCAGGGUGCUCACACCACCCCACGACGUAGACAGCCUCCCCCACCUGCGCAAGUUCUCCCAGAGCCAGGUGCCUGUGCAGACGCACUCCUCCAUCCUCCUGGCAGAGGGGAUGCCCCACGAGGAGCCAGCCGCCCUGCCGGCCUCAUCGAGAUCCCGCUGGGCAGCCUGGCAGAUCCCGCCGCUGAGGAGAGGGGAGACGGGAGUCACCCUGGUGCUGAGGAUUCCUUGGAAGAGGAGGCGUCUUCAGAGGGGGAGCCCAGAGCAGGGCUGGGGUUCUUCUACAAGGAUGAAGACAAGCGUGAGGACGAGAUGGCUCAAAAGCUGGCCAGCCUGCUGGAGCGGCCGCAGCAGCGAGCAGAGGAGGCGCGGCGGCGCAAGCAGUGGCAGGAGGCGGAGAAGGAACCGCGGAGGGAGGAGGCCGCGAGGCUGGCCCAUGAUGAGGCCCCUGGCCCAGCACCAGCCGUGUCCACAGUCCCUGCAGCCCCCAUGGCUACCCCGGCCCCUGCUGCCCGGGCUCCAGCCGAGGAGGAGGUGAGCCCCCGGCGGGGGGACUUCACGCGGCUGGAGUACAAGCGCCCGGCCCAGCUGAAGCUGAUGGGCGACCUUGAUAAGGUGCUGCGGCCCGGGGCUGCGGGGUCCGGGGGCCCGGGUCCGGGCGGGCGGAGGGCGCCCCGGCCUCGCUCAGGUUGCUGUGACGACUCGGCCCUGGCGCGAAGCCCAGCACGCAGCCUGCUGGGCUCUCGGCUUAGCAAAAUCUAUUCCCAGUCCACCCUGUCACUGUCCACUGUGGCCAACGAGGUCCCCAAUAACCUCGGGGUGAAGAGGCCCACGUCUCGGGCUCCCUCCCCAUCGGGCCUCAUGUCCCCAAGCCGCCUGCCUGGGAGCCGUGAACGGGACUGGGAGAAUGGCAGCAAUGCCUCCUCCCCAGCGUCGGUGCCCGAGUACACAGGUCCACGGCUGUGCAAGGAGCCUAGUGCCAAGUCCAACAAGUUCAUCAUCCAUAACGCCCUGUCAUACUGCCGCCUGGCAGGAAAGGUGAACAAACCGCAGAAGAACCGCAUUCUGGAGGAAAUUGAGAAAAGCAAGGCCAACCACUUCCUGAUCCUCUUUUGUGGCUCGAGCUGCCAGUUCCGGGCGCUCUACACACUGUCAGGGGAGACGGAGGAGCUGUCGCGGCUGGCGGGCUUUGGGCCCCGGACCAUCACACCCGCCAUGGUGGAAGGCAUCUACAAGUACAACUCGGACCGCAAGCGCUUCACCCAGAUCCCCGCCAAGACCAUGUCCAUGAGCGUUGAUGCCUUCACCAUCCAGGGACACCCCUAGCAGGGCAAGAAACCCACCACUCCCAAGAAGGGCGGCAGCACCCCAAAUAGCCCCACUCGGGGCUGGGCCCCGUGUGCUGUGGCCGCCGCCUCCCAGAGGACAGUGAGUGGGUAUUCCUGGGUCCUGUCUGUCCCCAGCUGUGUCUGGGUGGGGCUGGAGCCUCCACACUCUGACUUUGGGUCCAGUCCUGCUGUGGGGGCUGAGCUGGGAGGUUCAGGGACUCAGGGCUCAGCUCAGUCCCCUUGUCUGUCCUCCCCCACUUCUUGAAUAAAAUAAUUUAAAGAGAAAAAAAAAUGAAAAAAGCUUCCUUUUUUUUUUUUUUUUUUUUUUUAGGUUCGGCACAUACAUUUUAUUUGACUUUCACAUUGACACAUUCAGGAAAGUGGAGGCCACCUUAAAGCAAAGCCUGGCUCCCUCCUCCACCCUGGGCUCAGGAGCACUGUACAGGCUCCGGCUGGCACGCACCGCAGGAAACUGUCCCGGGUCUCAGCGGCCCUGGCUGUGGACGGCAUCUGAAACGGUCACUGUGGCUCUCCCUGCACCAGGGCCUACCUCAUUGCCAGGAAGCGGCACUGCUGGAGGAUACCUGGGCCCCGGGUUUUAUUGCUGGUGAACUUGGUCACCCACCUUCCAGUCACACGGUCCAGGGUGGUGGCAUGAUCAGAAUGGCUCUGGUGGUGCCCAUUUUGCUGAGAUGAAAGGAAUCGAUAUGUGUAAGCUACACUGAAUUCUGUGAUGCUGGCAAGUUGCCCCUGCUAGUCUUCAGCGCCAAGGGGAGAGCUCCCUGGAGGAGACAGCUGGAGACUCACUGCUGACCACCCAGGCAAGGCAAGUCAGAACUGAUGUGCCCAAAUCUAAAGUAGCCUGAGCUCCAAGCCUAACCAGCCCUCCCAUUCCUGGGCCAUGUUCCUUGUAAGGCCCCCAAAGACAUCCCCUUCUCAGGGGUAUUCUCACGCCCCUCUGCAAAAAAUCAGAUGAAAUCCCUGCUACUGAACCCCCACAACUGCCUGGCAGAUGUCCGGAGUCAGAUCACACAGCAUGGAUUCUUUUCCAUGGUCACUGUUACUAUAUCGAGUCCUCAUAUACAAGGAACUGGGGCCAAGCUUCUCUGGAUUGUCUUUGAAUGGAUUCCUCCCUGGCUUCCAUUGAAAGUGCUGCCGAAUCCAGUUUUCUGUCAUAUCGGAUUGAGCCACUUAAAAGUAAAACCGAUUUUUGGAUAGGAAUGUUCAGAAAUAUUCAAGGAACAUGGCUGUGGAUAAAUAACAGUCCAGUUUCUUUUGUCAACUGGAACAUAGGAGAUCCCUCCAUUGAACGGAAUGACUGUGUAGGUUUACAGGCAUCUUCUGGGUUUUGGAGUAAUGCUCACUGUUCUUCCUACAAGGGAUUCAUUUGUAAAAGGCCAAAAAUUAUUGAUGCCAAACCUACUCAUGAAUUACUUACAACAAAAGCUGACCCAAGAAAGAUAGAUCCUUCCAAACCAUCUUCCAACGUGGCCGGAGUAAUCAUUGUGAUCCUCCUGGUUUUAAUGGGUGCAGGCCUUGCUGCCUAUUUCUUUUACAAGACAAGACGUGUGCAGCUACCUCAAGAGGGCGCCUUUGAAAACACUCUGUAUUUUAACAGUCAGUCAAGCCCAGGAACUAGUGAUAGGAAAAAUCUCGUGGGCAACAUUGAACAGAAUGAACACGUGCUCAUCUAGUAUCUCAAUGUGAUUCUGAGAUGCUUGCAUUUCAUAAAAUUGUAACUGAAAUUUAAAAUGUUUAGUUCGAUGUGAUUGUUUCCUUUAAAAUGAACACUGAAUUGUACUGGUCUGUCCUUUUUUUCUUUGCCUAAUUGAAGAAAUAAUUGCUUGUUUUCUAGCCUGGCAAGAUGUUUUCACAAAAGAGGAAUAAUAAUGCUGAUUACUACCUUUUAAAAUAUCUUAGGUAAAUACACAGCACUACAGCACCAAAAUCUAAGCAUUAGUGAUGUGUAGCUGAUGUCAGCUUCCUGUGUUUUUUAAGAACUCUAGAAACAAUGAAGCUUCUUGGCAUAUUUUAAGGUGCCCCCAAAGUUGUGUUGCUAUUAAAUUGUAACUCAGCAAGUAGAAGACCAUUUGAAAAAUCAGGUACAAAUAGCCUCAAGUAGCAUAAAAAUGUAGUUAGUUUUCUCUUCUAUCAUUUUUUAUUUCCAUUCCAAUUACUUAGAAUCUUAUUUGUACAUGUGCAGAAGAAUAAGGCAGCAGAGAAUCUUGUUUCCUCCAAGAGAGUUUUACAGGCUGAGUGUUCCAAAUGUGUUCUUUGUCCUGAUAUAUGUAUAUCAGAAAUACAAGGAUGUGAAAUAAAAAUGUAAAUUUGCA